rnacentral:rRNA from 1 species
CGAGUGGCGGACGGGUGAGGAAUACAUCGGAAUCUACUCUUUCGUGGGGGAUAACGUAGGGAAACUUACGCUAAUACCGCAUACGACCUACGGGUGAAAGCGGAGGACCUUCGGGCUUCGCGCGAUUGAAUGAGCUGAUGUCGGAUUAGCUAGUUGGCGGGGUAAAGGCCCACCAAGGCGACGAUCCGUAGCUGGUCUGAGAGGAUGAUCAGCCACACUGGAACUGGGACACGGUCCAG